rnacentral:lncRNA from 1 species
CAGAGUUUUAGCUCGGCAAGCAGAGAUGGAGAGCUGGCGGUACCCGGUCUUUACCCAUUCUGGAAGGACCACUGGCUGGAGCUGAGAGGCAGUGGCUUCUCUGACAUGGGGCAUACACUCCAUUUUGCUACCUUCUCUGCAACAACAGAGAGUGUCUUCCUGGACCCCAAACUGAGAAUCAGAUGCCUUUAAUCAACGGGCUUGCUUCCUCCCACUCCCCAGACAACCUGAUUCAUGAGAUGCCUGCCUGUUCCCCGUGGGCAUCUGAGUUUGCAGCCCAUGCUCAGUAGAGUUUAUUCGGCAAUCCUUUUCCUGACCUAUAGCAGACUCCUAGCCCACCACAUUUCUAAUGCAGCUGUUGCAAGUCUUGUCCAGACCUUUCAGACCCUUGAUCUCUCCGGGAGAUUGUG